rnacentral:lncRNA from 1 species
UCACGAAGCAGAAUCAAAACCUGGAAAAAAAUUGGGGAUAAUCAUCAUUCAGCUGCUCGUAUAAACAAAUCGAAAAAGGGUGAGUCUUUACCUGGAAAUAAAAACCCUAAUUUGUGUUCAAUCGCAAAGACAAAUCUACGAGUCUUCUCUGCGACCAAGUCUCGUUAAUGUCUUUUUUCUACGCGAAAUUUUGUUUAUAUAUAUUGAUUGAGUGAAGAAACAAAAAUAAUAAAUAAAAAUGAGAGCUAUCUGUAUUUUCCUGAACAUUGCAUUGGCGUGCUCUAUAAAUGUUAUGUAUUUGCUUACGCCCCAUUACUAUGUAAACUUAAUUUUAUGACCAGAAAGACUUCAUUCUUGGCGUCCAUUGUUUUAUCAAUACAUUAUAAAUUUGAGUUUACCUUUCAAUUUUCUUUUGUUUUGGUAAUGAGUUUCAUAAAUACGUAUAAUGUACUAGUUGAUGGUCUGGACUAAUAUAUAUAUAUAUAUAUACCUAAUAAUUUUUAUAAAAGAAUAAAUUAUAAAAUUAGAUACACAUUUUAAAUUAAUAUUUUAAAUUAUAAAAUUUCAAUAUUCAUAUUGAUAAUCAAUGCAUUAUACUAUAAUAUUUUGUUUCAUAGUUUUAUUUAUUAAAUGUAAAUUUUGGAUCAAAAUUUUUUCUAUAGUAAUAAUCAAAUUAGGAUACUUGGAUUUGAAAUUAAACAUAUUAUAUUAGUAGAGUGAAAAGAAAUCCAGUGUCAUUAAAAUGAUUAUAAAAGAUCACAAUCCAUAAAACAUCAACAAAAUAACAAUAGCCAACAAACAUUAUAUAUUUUCUAUAAUUUAGAUUUUGAAAACAGUGAGAUAAAACCACAAAACUAAUAAAUAACACAAAAUUAUCUCUAUAUUCUCUUAGAUUAUAUUUAUAUUAUGUUUAUUAUUUGUCAAAAAAUUUAGUGCUAUUUAAAAUUUUAAUCCUAGUUUUCCAUGCUUCCAUAUAUAUUUUUAAUAUUUUAGUUAAUUUCCAUUUCAUAGUUUAUAUAAUACUAAUUUUAUUUUGAUUUUAAAUAUAUUAUUUUGAUAGCAUUUGUGAUUUUACGGAUAACAUAAAUUCAUUUGUGAUUUUGAUGGUCGUCAUAAAAAGAUACAAAUUAAUUUAUUUUAAGUUAGAAAUAUGAUUUUUUAAUAUUAAUAAUUUCCAAAAAGAAUAAUAGAAACUGAUUAUAAUAUUAGUCAUUAAAAUCAUAAACCAAAUGUAAGAUACACAUAAUUAUGAUAUUAUUGGUAGAUAUUGUUAAUAUUUAUUUAUUAAUUAAAUGUUUUAAAUAUCAUAUAGAAUAGGCUAAUGUCUAUUAAUUGUCUUAAAUAUCAUGCUAAAUAUAUAUAUUAAAAUAAAUUUAAAUAAUAAUAUUAAUUAAACUAAAGACUUAUCCUAAUCAUGAGAAAGAUGACAAGUAAGAAAAUUUAUUUCACAACUAAUAAUAUAGAUUGAUUAGGAUGUGAAUAUGCAAUAUGAAUUGUUAGACAAAAGUGUAAAUGUAAAUGAAAUUAGAGAAAAAAAAUGGGGAUAUAUGGAGCAAGGAGUGGUCUGGUUAAUUAAAUAUAAUUAAUAAUUGUAAAUAUAUAAUUUUUAUUUUAAAAAUUUAGGUACCCAUUUGGUUCUUAAUUCGGUUUCAAUUUCUUGGUUUUGGAGAUAUAUGAUAUGUUCGGUUAUUUAUAAUUUUUCGUUCAAUUUUGGUUUCAAUUUUUUUUAGUUUAGUGCGGUUCGCUAUUCUGAAUAAGUGUUUCAAAAUUAUACAUUACUUAUAUAGAAAUUCAUUAAAAAUCAUUUAAUUUCAAAAAUAAACUCGUGUUUCCGCUAGUUUUUUUUUUUAUAAAGCCAUCAAUUUAAAAUUAAAUGAUUGGCAUGUUGGCAUGUUGGCUUCUUUCUUCCUUCGCAUUUUGUCAUGUCAUUUAAAAGGUACAUUUUCACGCCAACUUUAAUGCGUGAUAUUAGCCGUCUUCGUGAAGGAAAAAAAAAAUCAUUAACUCGUUUACCCGAUUUGGAUUUUGGUGGCUUAAAGGAUUGCGCGUGAAGACUAGCCUUUUGAUGUUACCGUGAUGACUUGACUGAUAUGGACCGUAAUGAAGUUUUGAAAAGUUAAGGUAUCCUAGUGAGAAAAGAGGUAUCUUAAGCUUACCAUAAGCAGAAUCUCAACGUAUCAACGAACGAAUACGACAAGAAACUUGAAAGGGUCAAACCUCAAACGUUUGGACGCGCUUUCUUUUUAGCCAUCUUUCUAUUUUGGUUGAUGAUUCCCACACGUUUCAUGACUUUUUGACCCUUAAAUUAGGUUUUAAAAUUAGACACAUCACUAGCUAAAGCUAGUUCUUUAUACUACGGCCGGGUAAACAAAUAAAAAUGAUUAAAAAAACAUAUUUUAAAUUUUAAUAAAAUUAAAUUAGUUUUAAUUAUAAUGUUCAUUAUUUUUAUUAAUAACUAUUUUUUUCUUUUAGAAAUUAUAUAUUUGUUACUGUAUUAAAACAAAUAUAUCUAUUUUACGGUGUUCACAAUGUUUACUUUUCUUGUAUUUAAUUUAUCCUUAAAUUUUAUAAUUCUAACAAUUAUAAAAAGAAAAGCCAAUUUAUUAUCUUUUUUCUUUAAAAAUAAGCAAGUAGCAUAAAAUAUGAUAUUAAUUGUUGAUGUUUAGUAUUUAUAAAUAACAUGUUGGGUUAUAUAUUUAUGAAUUAUUAUAUUUGAGAAAAAUUAUAUUUAUGUUGUUUUUAUGUUUCUUCAAACUCACAUCAACAAACAUUUGAUAAAAAAAUAAGUCCGCAGCUGUUUUCCUUUUUUUACCAUCAAAAUCUAGGCUAAACUAAUAAAAAAUAGAAAAUCAUAACUAUUUGAUGUAUUGUUAGCUAUGAAGAUUAUUUAUAGAGAAUUAGGAUAGGCCCGCCCUACGGGCGGGAAGUAAGAAAAAAAUAUUUAAUUUAUUCUCAACUUGAAAAUGAUUUUAAAUAUAUUUGUUAUUCAGUUUUGUUAUUUUUAUUGGAAAUCAUAUGCUUAUCUAGCUAAUAAAGAAAUUUUAUUUUUAUUUUAUAUACUGGCAUUAUUCAAAAUUGCGGUUGAGAUUCACAUAUAUGUUUUUUUCUCUUUUAUAUAUUGUUAGUAUUUUUUUUACAUUCUCUUUGAAAUCCAAUAUUAUUUUAAAUUAUGUAAAAAGUAAAAUUUACCUAUUAUUUUUUCGCUUAGAGAUUUACAUAUUUUAUAGUUAUCAAAUAAACCAUAUCAUCCAAAAUAGUAAGGACUUUCUAAAAAAUAUUAUUGUUUAGUUUUCAAGGGAUAAUUAGUGAUUAUAUUAUUUUGAUUUCCUUUAUUUUUUUGGUGGAACUAUGAUUAGUUAAAAUUAAAGCAAGUUUACCCACCACAAAAGAAGGUCAAGUUUAUAGUGAAAACACCUGAUUUUGCAGAAGAUACCUGAUUUUGCCACUGCAUCAGCCACUGCAUUACAUAAUCUAGGAAUACGAUAUAAAAAUCAAACUUUAAAGAAUCUGAUAAAAUGGUAAAUACCACUAAUAUCUUUGCUGAGUCCUUAGCUUAGCAGAAUUCCAAGUUUCUAACUAACAACGGUGAAUUAGACGAUAGGAAUGCCUUAAAAUCCAGAUAAAAAUCUGAAUACUUUGUCUAUCAUUAGGAAGAAUACAAUACUUAUAAAAAAUACAUAAAUGAUAUGACGGAGCUGUUUUCAUUUGAGGCAUGAACCUAAAACAUUCUUUGAAUCAAGAAAAAAAUCUAAAACAUAUUUUGUUUACACUAUUUGACAGAACACAACUUUCAAAAUAAUCAACGGAGCUGCUUUCAUUUGAUGCAUGAUGAGUGAUACCUACAAAUAAGUAGGUUCAUCUUUCAGAUUCAUCAUAGCUAAGUCAAUCUCCUCUCUAGAUCAUCCACUUCAGUAGAUUCCAAGCUGCAAGAAUAUUUGAACACUGAAAAGAAUGAGUUAUCUAUUUCUGGUAAACUUAAUAUAUUAAAGUAAGCAAAAUAGAUUGUAUUUCUUGUUCUUCAUUAUAUUCCUGGUAAACUUAAUAGAUCAAAGUAACCAAAAUAUAAAAGUAAGAAAACAAAUAUACAUGACGUUGUUUUAGUUUUGAAAGUCAUCACUUUCCCUAGUUAUAUAAUAUAAAAACGUUACUUUUUUGAACAUUAUAUAAACGUUAUUUUAAAUAAAUGUAUUGCCGUUCCCCAAAAAAAUAAUAAUAGAUGUAUUGUCUUUGCGUAAAUUUGUAGUGUGAAGAGUGCAACGAAGGGAGGAGGACUUGAGACCGAAGACGUAAGCAACUCUGCUGCAUCUCCAAACGCAUCCCCAACUUUCUCUCCUGUGUUUUCGAUCAGUGUUUUGGUUGUCGCGUUUAAGGUGGUUCAACGCCUUUGGUGAAAGCUGUGCGGAUCUGAUUUUAACAACAGCAUCGUUCGAUUCAUCUAAGAGAAAGAAGAGAUCAUCAACCGAAGAUGAUAGGAAGAAAGAGUUAAUUAGUCCGAGAUGAUUGUUUUUAGAACGGCUAAAAGCUUGUGUGUGUCCUAAAGUUCUAAUGAUCUGAGAUCCACCUGAGCAGCAGCUGCCUCUGAGAAUGUUUUGAGAUAUUUCAGCUUCAUUGCUAGCAGAAACCUUGGCUUCCUGCAUCGCAUCUACUAUAAUUUUUGUGAAUGACAUGAGCUCAUCUUCUUCCACAUGCAGUGCACAUUUCAAUUCUGAACUUAAGG